rnacentral:rRNA from 1 species
AGUGAACGCUGGCGGCGUGCUUAACACAUGCAAGUCGAACGAGAACGGGUUAUAGCUUGCUAUAAUUGUCAGCUAAGUGGCGCACGGGUGAGUAAUGUAUAGGUAAUAUGCCUCUUACUAAGGGAUAACAAUUGGAAACGAUUGCUAAUACCUUAUACUCCUUAUUAACCUAAGUUAAUAAGGGAAAGAUUUAUUGGUAAGAGAUUAGCCUGUAUUGUAUCAGUUAGUUGGUGGGGUAAUGGCCUACCAAGACUAUGACACAUAACUGGUUUGAGAGGAUGAACAGUCACACUGGAACUGAGACACGUCCCAGACUCCUACGGGAGGCAGCAGUGGGAAAUAUUGAAAAAUGGACGAAAGUCUGAUGCAGCAACGCCGCGUGGAGGAUGACACAUUUCGGUGCGUAAACUCCUUUUAUAUGAGAAGAUAAUGACGGUAUUAUAUGAAUAAGCACCGGCUAACUCCGUGCCAGCAGCCGCGGUAA